rnacentral:rRNA from 1 species
CCUACGUGGUGCAGCAGUGGGGAAUAUUGCGCAAUGGGCGAAAGCCUGACGCAGCGACGCCGCGUGAGGGAUGAAGGUCUUCGGAUCGUAAACCUCUGUCAGCAGGGAAGAACGGUCACUGUGCUAAUCAGCAGUGAAUUGACGGUACCUGCAAAGGAAGCACCGGCUAACUCCGUGCCAGCAGCCGCGGUAAUACGGAGGGUGCGAGCGUUAGUCGGAAUUACUGGGCGUAAAGCGCUCGUAGGCGGUAUGUCAAGUCAAGGGUGAAAUCCCCGGGCUCAACGUGGGAACUGCCUUUGAAACUGGCAAACUGGAGUGUGUGAGAGGAUAGUGGAAUUCCUGGUGUAGGAGUGAAAUCCGUAGAUAUCUGGAGGAACAUCAGUGGCGAAGGCGACUAUCUGGCACAUAACUGACGCUGAGGAGCGAAAGCGUGGGUAGCAAACAGGAUUAGAUACCCGGGUAGUC